GUUCAGGUGGAGUGGGACCCAGGUGGGAAGAACAAAAUGUUCAAAGGCUCCCAAAGACUCUUGGGCAGGAAAGAGCCUAUGUUUUUGAAAAGUAGGCUGGUAUACCUGUAGGAGGAGGAAGUUGGAGUGGUUAGGGAUGGGGGGAAGGGGCUGUUCUGAGCCCUUCAUCUAGGUUAACACAAUCCUCACAAUUCAUGGGUAAGCGCUGUGUGUUCCUCCCAUUUCUGGAUGGGGCCACUGAGGCAUGGACAAUGUGCUGAGUCACACAGCCAGAAGCAGCAGCUUCAGGAUUCCAACCCAGGUCCUGCUAUAAAGCCCACGCCCUGGACUGCUUGCCACACGGCUGCCACCCCAACAGGUGGAAGAAAGAACCUGGGGAAGAUGGGUUUCGGUGCAGAGGGGAAGCAACAGAUGUCCUAG
rnacentral:lncRNA from 9 species